rnacentral:rRNA from 1 species
AGUGAACGCUGGCGGUAGGCCUAACACAUGCCAGUCGAACGGCAGCACAGUAAGAGCUUGCUCUUACGGGUGGCGAGUGGCGGACGGGUGAGGAAUACAUCGGAAUCUACUUUUUCGUGGGGGAUAACGUAGGGAAACUUACGCUAAUACCGCAUACGACCUACGGGUGAAAGCAGGGGAUCUUCGGACCUUGCGCGAUUGAAUGAGCCGAUGUCGGAUUAGCUAGUUGGCGGGGUAAAGGCCCACCAAGGCGACGAUCCGUAGCUGGUCUGAGAGGAUGAUCAGCCACACUGGAACUGAGACACGGUCCAGACUUCUACGGGAGGCAGCAGUGGGGAAUAUUGGACAAGGGGCGCAAGCCGGAUCCAGCCAUACCGCGUGGGGGAAGAAGGCCUUCGGGUUGUAAAGCCCUUUUGUUGGGAAAGAAAAGCAGCAGGUUAAUACCCCGCUGUUCUGACGGUACCCAAAGAAUAAGCACCGGCUAACUUCG